GCACUGCUGAGGAGUCCUAUACUAGGACAAAACGGCCGUCCAGUGC
rfam:Schistosoma mattheei strain Denwood, Zambia genome assembly, scaffold: SMTD_contig0003864